AUUGAACGCUGGCGGCAUGCCUUUACACAUGCAAGUCGAACGGUAACAGGUCUUCGGAUGCUGACGAGUGGCGAACGGGUGAGUAAUAUAUCGGAACGUGCCCAGUCGUGGGGGAUAACGCAGCGAAAGCUGUGCUAAUACCGCAUACGAUCUAUGGAUGAAAGCGGGGGAUCGCAAGACCUCGCGCGAUUGGAGCGGCCGAUAUCAGAUUAGCUAGUUGGUGGGGUAAAAGCUCACCAAGGCGACGAUCUGUAGCUGGUCUGAGAGGACGACCAGCCACACUGGAACUGAGACACGGUCCAGACUCCUACGGGAGGCAGCAGUGGGGAAUUUUGGACAAUGGGCGCAAGCCUGAUCCAGCAAUGCCGCGUGCAGGAUGAAGGCCUUCGGGUUGUAACUGCUUUUGUUACGGAACGAAACGGUGAGCUCUAUAAAGCUUGCUAAUGACGGUACCGUAAGGAAUAAGCACCGGCUAACUACGUACG
rnacentral:rRNA from 1 species